rnacentral:rRNA from 1 species
CGGAACGGGUGAGUAACGCGUGAGGAACCUGCCUCAAAGAGGGGGACAACAGUUGGAAACGACUGCUAAUACCGCAUAAGCCCACGGCUCGGCAUCGAGCAGAGGGAAAAGGAGCAAUCCGCUUUGAGAUGGCCUCGCGUCCGAUUAGCUAGUUGGUGAGGUAACGGCCCACCAAGGCGACGAUCGGUAGCCGGACUGGGAGGUUGAACGGCACAUUGGGACUGAGACACGGCCCAG